rnacentral:rRNA from 1 species
GAUGAACGCUAGCGACAGGCUUAACACAUGCAAGUCGAGGGGCAGCACGGGAGUAGCAAUACAACUGGUGGCGACCGGCGCACGGGUGAGUAACGCGAAUGCAACCUACCUAUCAGAGGGGAAUAACCCGGCGAAAGUCGGACUAAUACCGCAUAAAACAGGGGCACCGCAUGGUGAUAUUUGUUAAAGAAAUUCGCUGAUAGAUGGGCAUGCGUUCCAUUAGGUAGUUGGUGAGGUAACGGCUCACCAAGCCGACGAUGGAUAGGGGAACUGAGAGGUUGGUCCCCCACACUGGUACUGAGACACGGACCAGACUCCUACGGGAGGCAGCAGUGAGGAAUAUUGGUCAAUGGGCGAGAGCCUGAACCAGCCAAGUCGCGUGAAGGAAGAAGGAUCUAUGGUUCGUAAACUUCUUUUGCAGGGGAAUAAAGUGCGGGACGUGUCCUGUUUUGUAUGUACCCUGAGAAUAAGGAUCGGCUAACUCCGUGCCAGCAGCCGCCGUAAGAC